rnacentral:rRNA from 1 species
UAAGACGUAGGGGGCGAACGUUGCUCGGAAUUACUGGGCGUAAAGGGUGUGUAGGUGGCUGAGUAAGUCAAAGAUGAAAUCCCAAGGCUCAACCUUGGAAUUGUUUUUGAAACUGUUCAGCUUGAGGAUAGUUGAGGAGAAUGGAAUUCCCGGUGGAGCGGUGAAAUGCGUAGAUAUCGGGAGGAACACCAGAGGCGAAGGCGAUUCUCUGGACUAUUCCUGACACUGAGACACGAAAGCUAGGGGAGCAAACGGGAUUAGAUACCCCGGUAGUCCUAGCCGUAAACGAUGGGCACUGGGUAUGGUGGGUAUCGACCCCUGCCGUGCCGAAGCUAACGCAUUAAGUGCCCCGCCUGGGGAGUACGGCCGCAAGGCUG